AAAUGUUUACAAUGGAGGGAUUUUUUAUUAAAAAAAUGGGGAAAGGAAGCACACUUAGUUAUGUAAACCCCAAAUAACUUUAAAUGUCCAACACUACAACUCAACAUCAAACAGCAGCAAACGACCUAAAUUCUCACAGCCUACACCAGGGACUACAGUCAUUUGUAUGAGUAUCAUUAACUCAAAAGUUCUGCACGCUUUGGAAAACAAUUUUUAUAAAAUUAUAGCAACGAUAAUACCAUAAAAUUUGCCAUUCUAUCAAAAAAAGACCAAAUUGGAUUACUCAUACCUUAUCUUUUGGAGAACAGAAAAA
rnacentral:misc_RNA from 1 species